rnacentral:rRNA from 1 species
UAGCUGCGGAAGGAUCAUUA